rnacentral:lncRNA from 1 species
CUGCUUCUAUUUCAGCCUUCUUUCUUGGACAGUAUGUGGGAACUGUAGCCACACAGAAAACUUGCAGGCUUUGCUUGGACAUACAUACCAGAUAUAGACCCACUCCUGCAGAUCUGUCUCCAUGAAUCCUCAUUUUUUUCAAGAUUGAAAUAUCUGAGGACCCUUCUGCUCUCAGGUAAAAUUUUCACUGGGUUUGUGCUUCCCAUGCCUCUGUGA